GCGGGAGCGGCGGGAGCGGGCGGAGCGAGCGGAGCCAUGUCGGGCCGGGAGGGCGGCAAGAAGAAGCCGCUGAAGCAGCCGAAGAAGCAGACGAAGGACCUGGAUGAGACGGAUCUGGCAUUCAAACAAAAACAGAAGGAGGAGCAAAAGAAACUUGAGGAGAUGAAAGCAAAAGCAGCUGGAAAAGGGCCCCUGGCCAGUGGUGGAAUAAAGAAGUCUGGCAAAAAGUAGCUUGAUCAAACUGCAGGGUAUGAAGUGAUCAAGUUACUCAAUGGACCUGCAGACUUCAGAGAGUCUUGAAAACAGUCUGUCAUUUGGGAAACAUUGUACAUUUUGUUUAGUCACAAUAAAUCCUUUUUGUUAAGAUGUGA